rnacentral:lncRNA from 1 species
UAAGUUGCAGAGUAGAUUCAAUAAUCUACCCUUUUAUUUCUAUAUGACAACUCUAUAUUCUCCAUUUUUUCUUCUCGCCAGGCGUGUGCCACCACAUGCCCCCUUCCCUUUGUCUGAAAGGAUAGAGAAAAGGAAAAGAUAGAAAUCCCUGAUUCUAAAUUCCCCAUUUAGUUUCCUCCCCAUCCAAGAUUAUAAUUAUUUGUUAAUCAUCCCUUAAAAUAACAUAUGUAUAAAUUCAUAGAUGACCAAAACCAUCCACCCCAACUUGCGCCACUGGGACGACAGUCUUCUUCUUAUUGCUUCCUGAUGCAUUGGGGCCAAGAACUCCUGUUUGGGAUCCCAGAAGGAAACUGGGGAAAUGGAUAAAUCAACAGAGAGCUGGCUGACGUCAUUGGUUGUCAGGUCUACAUAUGUGGAUGAAGUGAACUCUUGACUGCAUCAGUCUGAAGGGCCGGAUGAAUCGAGGCCAUCUGGGAUCAGCAGUCCUUCCUGAAGCUGUUCUAGCAGCAAGUCUCUGGAAACUGCAUCAGUUUGAGGCAGGAUGGAUCAGGGAGCAAAACAGCAGGUUCGGUCUCUCAGCAUCUUUGAGGAUGAAUCCCUGUCGGGGCUGGUCUUCUGGUCCUCUAUUCUGCAAUACACAAACCUGACGAGCAGUACAUAGGUCUAUAAAGACAUCUGUGUGGGAUGCGCAGGGUGCACAGACCAAUUAAGGACAAUUUCCUGCUCUUUGUUUGAGCAGGUGAAAACUGUCUUUUCUUUGGAAGUUAGUUUGAUCGUAUAUAAGGCUCCAUUCACACCAUAUGAAAGAUGGUAUGUAAUAAUAAGGCAUGAGAAUUCUGUAGCCGACAAGACUUAUUAGCCAUGUAAGCUCAAGUUCUGGCUGGAGAUGUAGGUAUGUCCCAGUCAGUUUCAGAGUUGUUUUAAAAGCGGGGUUAGCAAUAUACUUUACCAGUGCAUCUGGUCCCUAGCAUGUCUCCCAUCUGAAGCUGAGAUCUUCAGUGUGUGUGUGUGUGUGUGUGUGUGUGUGUGUGUGUGUCUCCAUCUACCAAAUCUGACCUUUAUUACUUUGGAAGGAGCCCAAAGCCUUCUUUCCUGUUAACACAAGUACAGAGCCUCUCUCCCAACAUAGUACGUCCUUUGGUCCAGGAGUUUGAUAUGGACUGCUUCAAUCCAGCAGCCCCUUUUCCAUUUAGGACUGCUCUGUUUUGAUCUCUCUCAAAGAGAGACGUACACUAUCAUCAUAACCAUGGAACUUGUAGCCACCUUCAUUUUGAUAACUUAAAACAAUUAAAACAACUUAAUACAAUUAUUAUUGUUACUCUUUAAUGAGACAGGGUUUCUCUGUGUAUCCUUGCCUGACCUGGAUUUCCUCUGUAGUUUAGGCUGGCCUCGAACUCACAAGGAACCUACCUGUUCCUGUGUUUGUCUCCCAAGUGCUGAGAUCAGAGGUCUGAAUUUAUUUCAUAUAUAUGUACCUUUUCUUCCUUAAUUUAAUAGCCUUCUCUGUAUCUCCACUUCAUUCAUAUUCCCUUCCGCUCAGUGUAUGAGCCUGUUCCUAAGUAACACUGCGUCUGCUCAGAGGUUUUGCCCUGGGUAUGCGUCAUGCACUAGGGUGAGCCGUAAUCAGUUCUCCAGUGGCAGCCCACGGCUAAGGAGAGUGGUUGCUCAGAAUGGCAUGACACCGUUUCCAGUUAGCUCCUACAGGGCCACCAUUACUUCUCCAGGGGAGCCCCACAUUCCAAGGAGACAGGCUGGCUGCUCAGAGUAGCUUGAAACUCUUCCCCACGUUAGCUCUCAGGAGCACAGCUUUUCUUCUCCUGAUCAGAUAGAAGCAAAACAAUUCUGCCCUGACCCCAACCCUGGUCCUCACACUGGCCCACAGAAAUAUGCCUUUCCCAGGGCAAAAUGCUUUCUAGCAACAGAAAAGCAUUAUCUUUCUAUUCGAAAUGAUAAAUUUAUGGGCUGGAGAGAUGGCUCAGCAGUUAAGAGCACUGACUGCUCUUCUGAAGGUCCUGAGUUCAAAUCCCAGCAACCAUAUAGUGCCUCACAACUACCAGUAAGGAGGUCUGAUGCUGUCUUCUGGGGUGUCUGAAGACAGAUACAGUGUACGUACAUAUAAUAAAUACAUCUUUUUUUAUUUUUUUAUUUUUUUUUUUUUAUUUUUUUUUUUUGGUUUUUCGAGACAGGGUUUCUCUGUACAGCCUUGGCUGUCCUGGA